GCCUUAAUAGUUUAAAAUAAAACUUUGGUCUUGUAAACCAAUAAUGAAUACAUUAUUCUUAAAGCU
rnacentral:tRNA from 1 species